rnacentral:tRNA from 1 species
GUUUAAAUAGUUUAAUUAUAGAAUUAUAAUCUGUGGAGUUAUAGGUGUAAUAUUUUACUUUAAUCC